GACAAACGCUGGCGGCGUGCCUAACACAUGCAAGUCGAGCGGAGAUACCUGACGAGUAAUCAGAGGGUAUUUUAGCGGCGGACGGGUGAGUAACGCGUGAGCAACCUGCCCUUUACAGGGGGAUAACGCACCGAAAGGUGCACUAAUACCGCAUGAGACCACGGUACCGCAUGGUACAGAGGUCAAAGGAGCAAUCCGGUAGAGGAGGGGCUCGCGUCCGAUUAGGUAGUUGGUGGGGUAAUGGCCUACCAAGCCAACGAUCGGUAGCCGACCUGAGAGGGUGAUCGGCCACAUUGGAACUGAGAUACGGUCCAAACUCCUACGGGAGGCAGCAGUGGGGAAUAUUGGGCAAUGGGGGGAACCCUGGACCCAGCGACGCCGCGUGAGGGAAGAAGGUUUUCGGAUUGUAAACCUCUGUCCUUGGUGAAGAGUAGAAGACGGUAACCAAGGAGGAAGCCCCGGCUAACUACGUG
rnacentral:rRNA from 1 species